rnacentral:rRNA from 1 species
GAGUUCAAGAGUACGUGAACCGUUUAGGGGUAAACCUGAGAAACCCGAAAGGUCGAAGGGAGAAAUUCAUUCGCGUUUCGCCUGUCGGCGAGAGACGGUCGUGUGACGGGGUCGCGUUCGCGCGUGCCCCGCGCCCUCCGUUUUACGAUCCGGCGGCGAACGCGUGCACUUUUCUCCUGGUAGGACGUCGCGAUCCGUUGAGUGUCGGUCUACGGUUCGCGGUGGAGCCCGUUCGUACGGUUCGCGCCGUUACGUUCGGACCCGCGUUUCCCGGCUGACUCGCUCGACGGUAUACCGAAAGGUUUAAGGCCGCUUUNUAAGCGUUCGACUCGCGGCAAGCGCGCCGGAUGCGUCGGCGAUCGGACCCCGUGCCGAUUCUGACCUCCGGUGACUGUUGGCCGCGAAGUUCUCGGACAGACCUUAAAACCGAUCUGCGNCGCUAUAGCUUUGGGUACUUUCAGGACCCGUCUUGAA